rnacentral:rRNA from 1 species
AGAGUUUGAUCCUGGCUCAGAGCGAACGUUGGAGGGAUGUUUUAAGCAUGCAAGUCGAGCGGCAGCGGAGGGGCUUGCUCCUGCCGGCGAGCGGCGAACUGGUGAGUAACGCGUAGUUAUCUGCCUUACAGACUGGGAUAGCCAUUGGAAACAGUGAUUAAUACCGGAUAUUGCCUUUGGGUGAAAGGCGCGUUUUGCGCCACUGUGAGAUGAGACUGCGUCCUAUUAGCUAGAUGGUGUGGUAAGAGCGCACCAUGGCGACGAUAGGUAGCCGGCCUGAGAGGGUGAACGGCCACAUUGGGACUGAGAUACGGCCCAGACUCCUACGGGAGGCAGCAGCUAAGAAUAUUCCGCAAUGGACGAAAGUCUGACGGAGCAAUCCCUCGUGAGCGAUGAAGGCCUUCGGGUUGUAAAGCUCUUUCGCCAAGGAAGAACAGCCAUAUCAGGAAAUGGGUAUGGUCUGACGGUACUUGGAUAAGAAGCACCGACUAAAUACGUGCCAGCAGUCGCGGUAAUACGUAUGGUGCAAACGUUGCUCGGAAUUACUGGGCGUAAAGGGUACGCAGGCGGUUUAGUAAGUUAGUGGUGAAAACUCAAGGCUUAACCUUGAGCCUGCCAUUAAUACUGCUGAACUAGAGUUGGAAUAGAGGUAGCAGGAAUUUCUAGUGUAGGAGUGAAAUCUGUAGAUAUUAGAAGGAACACCAAUGGCGAAGGCAAGCUACUGGGUACCGACUGACGCUAAUGUACGAAAGCCAGGGGAGCGAACGGGAUUAGAGACCCCGGUAGUCCUGGCCGUAAACGCUGUCCACUAGUUAUAUGAGUUCAUGUAAUUUAUGUAACAAAGUUAACGCGAUAAGUGGACCGCCUGGGGAGUAUGCGCGCAAGCGUGAAACUCAAAGGAAUUGACGGGGGCUCGCACAAGUGGUGGAGCAUGUGGUUUAAUUCGAUGAUAAGCGAAGAACCUUACCUGGGCUUGAACUUGUAGUGACCGCCUGUGAAAGCAGGUUUCUCCUUCGGGAGCGCUAUGAGAGGUGCUGCAUGGCCGUCGUCAGCUCGUGUCGUGAGAUGUUGGGUUAAGUCCCGCAACGAGCGCAACCCUUAUCCUAUGUUACUAUGUCUUUUAGACAGGACUCUUAGGAGACUGCCGAGGUUAACUCGGAGGAAGGCGAGGAUGACGUCAGGUCCUCAUGGCCCUUAUGUCCAGGGCUACACACGUGCUACAAUGGGUCGUACAAAGGGCAGCGAAGUCGCGAGGCUAAGCGAAUCCCAAAAAACGACUCUCAGUUCGGAUCGUAGUCUGCAACUCGACUACGUGAAGCUGGAAUCACUAGUAAUCGCGGAUCAGCAUGCCGCGGUGAAUACGUUCUCGAGCCUUGUACACACCGCCCGUCACACCACCCGAGUUGAUUUUACCUGAAGUCGUUGCAAUACGGCAGUGCCGAGGGUAGGAUUGAUAAGGAGGGUGAAGU